UACGUAGGAGGCAAGCGUUGUCCGGAAUUACUGGGCGUAAAGCGCGUGUAGGUGGUGGGACAAGUCUGCUGUGAAAGCGCCUGGCUUAACCGGGCGAGGUCGGCGGAAACUGUCCGACUCGAGGACGGUAGAGGGGGGUGGAAUUCCCGGUGUAGUGGUGGAAUGCGUAGAGAUCGGGAGGAACACCGGUGGCGAAGGCGGCUCACUGGGCCGGACCUGACGCUGAGGCGCGAAAGCGUGGGGAGCGAUCCGG
rnacentral:rRNA from 1 species